ensembl:snRNA U6 U6 spliceosomal RNA
GGGCCUCUGCUUACCUUGGAGACCCAUACACUAAAAUUGUAACAAUAUAGUAAAGAUUAGCAUGGUCCCUGCAAACGGAUAACGUGCAACUUCAUUAAGUGUUACAUAUUUUU